GGGCCCGCACAAGCGGUGGAGUAUGUGGUUUAAUUCGAUGCAACGCGAAGAACCUUACCAGGGUUUGACAUCCUGCGAAUCUCUUGGAAACGAGAGAGUGCCUUCGGGAACGCAGUGACAGGUGGUGCAUGGCUGUCGUCAGCUCGUGUCGUGAGAUGUUGGGUUAAGUCCCGCAACGAGCGCAACCCCACGUCGUUAGUUGCCAGCAUUUAGUUGGGCACUCUAGCGAGACCGCCGUGAUAAACCGGAGGAAGGUGUGGAUGACGUCAAGUCAUCAUGCCCCUUACAUCUGGGCUACACACGUACUACAAUGCUACGGACAAAGGGCAGCAAACUCGCGAGAGCUAGCAAAUCCCAUAAACGUGGCUC
rnacentral:rRNA from 1 species